AUUUUCUCAACCAGAUUUCCUUCAACUCCUCUUCGAAAUCGCCGAUCUCCCUCAUCUUCUCUCCACAUUCUCUAAAAUCGCCGACCUCAUCUCCUCUCAUCUUGAAUCCAAAUCGCCUGAUCUGAUUUCUGCAUCUCCUCUCCUCACCUGAUCAGAUCGUCCAACUGUGGCCGGUGUUUUCUUGAUCGGCGAAUAUCCGGCCCUCCUCCCCCAAAUCUACCGAGAACCUAAAUUGGUAAUCAAUUACCUUCAGAACCUGAAAAGUUCUGAGGAGUCCUUGCGAGAACAGUUAGAAAAAGCAAAAAGGAAGGAUGCUGCAUUCAUAGUGACAUUUGCAAAACGAGAGCAGCAGAUAGCAGAGCUGAAGUUCGAGAGUUGAGAGUACCACUGAAACCACCAUCAAUGCAGGUAAUUCCUAAUACCGUAGUCUAGCUAAGUAGAUUU